UUCUAUAGGAAAACGAUUCGAAAUGUGUCCGUCAAAAUUUGUUGUGUGUAUACUGCUGAUUUCGGUAAGCGCCGAGUCGGGCUCGGAAUCGCAGGCGAGCCAGCUGCAGGUGCAACCGACGCCCAGUGGAAAGGAGCCCAGUCCAUCGGACUUUCAGUUCCUGGUCACCGGUGGCUAUCGGCCGGAGUCCAACGACCUGGUCAAGUACGCGGUCUCGCUGCGCAUGGGCAAGCCGAAGAAGUUCUUCGGGGACAACCACUUCUGCUCGGGCGUGAUCUUCAGCCAGCGGGUCAUUCUCACGGCGGCCCAUUGCAUGUACAGCAAUCGGCGCAAGCUGAAGCCCAAGCGGCUGAUGGUCGUUGCGGGGACGCCAAGGAGGCUGGUCAAGGGCGAUACAACGCAGAUUAUGGAAUCCGAGGUGCUGCUGCCGCAUCCCAAGUACAACAAGGGCAAGUCGCAGAAGUACGACGUCGGCCUGAUCCUGAUGAAGGAGGAUCUCAGUCUGGGCGCUGCCGUUGCCACCAUAUCCCUGACCAACAAGGCUCCGGUCUCCGGCGUCAAGUGCUCCAUCGUCGGCUGGGGCACGGUCAUUCAGUUUGGCCCACUGCCGGAUGAGGCCAUCAACGGCGAUGUGCAGAUCCUGCCGGACACCUUCUGCGAGAAGCUGCUGGGCUGGUCCAACGUGGGCAUGCUCUGCGCCCACGACAAGGAAAACUCCGAUGUGGACAGCUGCCAGGGCGACUCGGGCGGACCGCUCAUCUGUGACAACAUGGUGACGGGCCUCGUGUCCUUUGGCAUGGGUUGCGGCGAGCCCGAUUCGGCUGGGAUCUACACCGAUGUCUACCACUUCCGGGAUUGGAUCACCCAGAACUCCUGCCCCCUGGGCACACGACCUGCGUGGACGCUGCUGCUGCUGCUGCUGCUCCUGGUGCUGGUCGGUGCCGGCUCACCGGCUAGUGCAACUAGUUGACCUGCCAGCCAGCCUGCAAACCUCCGAGCCUGCAUACGACAAACCAAAAUUGACUAAAACCAGCGGGCAUGACCUGUCAUCCAUGGAUGUGGAUGUGGAUGUGGAUGUGCUUGUGGAUGUGAAGGCAGGCAGCGAAGGCGGUUGCCAAACGAGGCCAUGGCGAUGACGAUGGCGAAUGGCGAAUUGUGGUGCAUGCCGCGCCAUUACCCGCGCACACGUGCACACAAACGCAAUUGCCGUUGGGUGGGCGCACGGUUUAUGGUUACGCUGAUGCAGAUCCGCAUCCAGUGUUUGUGACAGCAAUUAUCGCAUCACCACCGACGACCCUGCUCCCCCAGCUCUCCCCUGCUCCCCUGGUGGCUGGCCACAGGGCACACGCAUGGCAGCAGGCAGCUGGCAGCUGGCAGCGAAGACAAUAUGCAACAAUUCGCGCUGGUUAGUUUGGGCACUCGCCAACUGUUGAUUAGGCCAAUUAGCGGCAGCCAAUUGUCUGCCAAUGGUCUGGGACUGCUCCUGAUAGCGGCGUGUGGCCUUCUGGAUGCCAGGUGACCGUGGACAAUGGCCCAUGACCAGCGAGCAAGAGCAACGAGCAACGAGCCCCAAACGAAUCUCGGUUAGAAAUCAGUGCGGAAGCAUGUUGAUUUGUUAUCAGCAAUGCAAUUAGUAAUCGCACACGCACACUCCCAAUCACUGGCACAUGAACGUACGCUGGCAAAGCGACGGAGACGGAGACGGAGAUGGAGACGGAGUCCUCAGCCACACAAGUCACGAACGUGUCCCGUUCUCAGAGUAGGACCCAGCACCCAGGACCCAGGACCCGUCCAGGCUCCAAGCAAGCUCUGCCUCGCCGCCAGACGACAAAACAAUGCUGAAUUGAUGUGGCACUCCGAGGGACGAGCCCCAGCUGACUACCCCAUCUCGCCCAGAGGCAGGCGACCAGGCCAGACUAUGCCAGACCAGACCAGAGACAUGCUUACAGACAUUCAGACAUUCAAACAUUCAGACAUUCAGACGACAUUCGCAAUCAGUUAAACUUGACAUCGUAGUUGUCUGAUUGCGGAGCGCCGUCCGGAGUGAAUCCAGUGACCAGAGGUGACCCACAAGUGAACAGGAAGAACUCAAAUGGGAUGGGCGUCUUGGCGUUGGCAAAACCGUUUCAUUUCAUCUUCACAUUUCCACCACAUCCACCAGUCUGGUCGUUCAACUCCGCCUGAUCAGAACGCGGUGCACAACCAAAGCCGGACGGAGUCCGAAUCCGAGCCGUACAAGCGGCUUAGUUGCCGCGCAGAGGGAUACGCGCCUGCUGACAAAUCGACGGCUAAGCUGCAACGCCAACACGUCGACCGCAGGCAGGGUCGUUCCACCAGGACCACCAGGACCAACAGGACCACCAUCCAAGCAGCGAGGAGCAGGACACGCGUCCCAGACCCAUCCAAAACCCCGGUUGAGCAGAGCCCACCGAAAUCAC